rnacentral:tRNA from 1 species
GCGGGAAUAGCUCAGUGGUAGAGCAUCACCUUGCCAAGGUGGAAGUCGCGAGUUCAAAUCUCGUUUCCCGCU